rnacentral:rRNA from 1 species
UACGUAGGGGGCAAGCGUUGUCCGGAUUUAUUGGGCGUAAAGAGCUCGUAGGUGGUUCGGCAAGUCGGAUGUGAAAUCUCCAGGCUCAACCUGGAGGGGUCAUUCGAUACUGCCGUGACUAGAGGUCGGUAGGGGAGUGUGGAAUUCCUGGUGGAGCGGUGAAAUGCGCAGAGAUCGGGAGGAACACCAGUGGCGAAGGCGGCUACCUGGACCAGCACUGACACUGAGGCACGAAAGCGUGGGGAGCAAACAGG